UCUCCGUAGGUGAACCUGCGGAGGGAUCAUUACUGAGUGAGGGCUCCGGCCCGACCUCCAACCCCAUGUGAACCGAAACCUGUUGCUUCGGGGGCGACCCUGCCUUCGUGCGAGGCGCCCCCGGAGGCUCAUCAAACACUGCGUAACUGAGUCGUCGGAGUUUAAACAAAUUAAACAAAACUUUCAGCAACGGAUCUCUUGGGUCGGGCAUCGAUGAAGAACGCAGC
rnacentral:misc_RNA from 1 species